GUCUUAUCUCCUAUAAAAAUAAAGGAUCAAAGGAUCAUGGAUACAAAAAGACUUUUGUGCAUCUCCCUGCCUCCCGAUGGGACCCACCACUCAGACUGGAAGGAAACUACUCUUCUUUUUCUGAAGCUCUCCUGUUUUUUAUUAUGUUGAAUCCAACCUCAUCAAGAAUCAAGCUGCCCAGACGGGGACUACAUUUCCCAGCUUCCCUUGCGUCUCGGUGGAACCAUGUGACUAGUCCUCACCAACAGAAAGCAGAGGAAGGGAUGUGUGUCUUUUCCAGCCCUGUUGAUUACUGGCUGUGCCUUCUCUACACUCCCUACUUUUCUGUUGAUUGGGUGCAGAAGAUACUGAGGUUCUACGGGAUGCAAGGACCACAAGAUGAAUGAGCCUUAUCUGUGAAUAACAAUAUGGAAGAUUGCUCACCAGGAACAUCAACAUUGGUUUGUCACAUGGAAUGGAUGCUGGACAACUGGAACACAUCUCCUCUGCACUGAGCUUUUCAAUAGCUCCGCUUUAUAUAAUCCUCUCGAUCCCUUGCCACCAUUCGUCUGCACUCCAUCACUCAGGAUGAAAAUGGAGUCUGCAACGUGAUAUCUCAGGAAACAGCCAGGUCUGUGACUAAAUACUUUCCCCUAAAAUUCACUUUAACUGACGGUACUAUUAGGGAUACUGUUCUUCUCAUUCUCAUCUGGUAGUUUAUUUCCUUUUCUCUGGUACGUUCUUAAGUUACCAAAAUACUGUAUAAUAUAUGGUUUCUCACCAACUCUCUAGCAGGUUUAUUUCACAACCUCGACAUGGGUUACUUCCCAUCCUGUUUCAUUCUUCUCACUUUUAGUGCCUCUUCCUUAAUAUAAUCUCUUAAAUUCUCUGGAAUAAUUUCCAUACAAAAUGUAUUUAUUCCAUUUCCAUGGACAGAUAUUUAUUCCAUUAAAUAGGAACGGCCACAUCCCAAAUAGCUUUUAAAAUGGUCUGUUUAUAAACCCCUCAAUAGACAUUUUAGUGUAAGAUAAAAAUAUUUAAUGAUUUGGACUAAUGAUGGAUAGCCUAGUCUGAAUUAUGGACUAUUUAAAAAGAACUACCCUAUAAAAUAAAAAAUAUUACACCCAAUAAAAGACAGAAGCUUACAAAUUAUUGAAAGUAAGGAUGC